rnacentral:lncRNA from 1 species
AGAAGUCCAAGAGUUUACAUUUUAGUUCCUAACACAUGGAAGCAUAACUGACUGUCUAUGUACAUGCCAUUUUAAUUCAAAAUAUGGUACCUACUUUUGAAGCUCUUGAGGAUGUGAUGAGAUGAGAGAUCUUCUAUCCUGACUUUACCUCUUCGAGACAAACUGUACCUACGCGUUAAAAUUAAAUGCGUUAAGCCGGUGAAGGCUUAGUAAGCACUACAAUAAAUAAACAGAUAAAUAAAUAUAAACAAAAUGUGACAGCCCAAAAUUGACCCUAGUCGGGAAGUGGUUUCGGGACCGCUAAACCGAGUCACCGAAAUGUUUGAAUGUGAUAUUUAUUGUCUAGAAUAUGUAAUUAUGAAUGUGUGAAAAUUUCAAGCUUCGAUUUAGUCGAUUGCAUGUGAAUUUAGUCAAUAGGACUUAUGUGCGACAUUUUUGAAAUGUGAUUGGUCGAAGCAUAAGGACCUAUUAGUGCAUGAAAUAAAAAGGGGGGACUUGCAUGUCAAAUUCCCCCCUAAUUAGUAGUGGCCGGCCAUGACAAGCAUGGUAGACCAAGUGUGAUGGGCAAGACAUGUCAUAGACAUGUUGUGUUGGUGCAUCAUGGGUGGAAAAAAAUAAAAUAAGGAGCAUGGGCAUAAAAUAAUAAAAGGGAAUAUGAUGAAAACAAAAAAAAAAGAGUGUGUGGUUGUUUUCCCCCCAUUGCCGUGAGUUAAAGAAAAGAAAAGAGAAAAUUUUGUUCAUCCUUUUUCAUCUUCAUUUGGCCGAAAAUUCUAAGGAAGGAGGAAGGAGUUCUUGCUUCAUGUUUGGUUUGGAAGAGGAUUAGGAGGAGGUUUGGCCAUACUUGUAUCUAGAUCAAGGUAUGUUUGAGGUUGUGCCGUGAGAUUCAUGUAUGUUUUUAGUUGCUAGCUUGAGUUCUAAUUAGCCCAUGGUUCAAAUCUUUGCUAUGUCAUGGGGAUGAUAUUCGGCCUAGGUAGAUUUUGUGUUAAUGCCAUUGCAUGCUAAAUAUGAAGCUUGUUAAUGAUGCAUGUGAUGGUGGAUUGAUGAUUCUUGAAUCUUCUUUUUAGCAUUUUUGAGUGAGCACAUAUGUGCAUUGGUUGCUAGAUGGAGAAGAAUCGGCUAGCAAGUUGUGUGCUAAGGCCGAAUAUAAUUUUUGUAUAUUAAUGAGUAAUGCAUGGGUUAAAUUGAUGGAAAGGGAGAGGAUGCUUUACUAGUGUAUAUAUGUGUGUAUUAGCCAAGUUUUGAACUUGAAACAAAAGGGUGUUUAGUCAAUACAAGUGACCAUACUUGUAGAAUGUAUUAAGUGUUGAAAUCGGCCCCAACAUAGACAUGCAUAUUCGGCCAUAGGAAGGAGAUUGGUGUUGCAUGUAUUCGGUUAGAGGCAAGCAUAUUGAUGCUUUUGUCUUGGCUUAGAAAAUUCAGCCAUGGGGGAAAAAUUAGCUAAAAUGUUCAGUUUGAUUCAUGAUUCCGUACAUAUGUGACUUUAAUGUCUAAUGUAUAAAUAUGGGCUAAGUGCCUUGUGUUCCUCUUUUCGAUGCUCAAAUGAUUAAAUCAAUUUAUUUGUUUAAUUAAGCUCAAGAGCAAAGGGGAACUAAAUCCGAUAAAGGGAAGGAAAAAGUGGUCGAAUAGCUAUCGGAAUCGUUCGACAACACCCGAGGUAAGUUCUUGAGUAAAAGAGCUUAAAUUAUGAUUUGAUUAGAUCAUGUUUUAAGCAAACCAAAAUCAUGCUCUUUGUGUGUGGCUAUUGAGCCGAAAUUGCAAGAAUGAUAAGUGUCUUGUGUUUGAGUUUUGUUAACGAAAAUGAAAUACGAAUGUGCCAUGAUUUACUGUUAAAUGUGCAUGGUUAUUUGAAUGAUGUCCGGGCUAAGUCCCGAAGGCUUUGUGCUAAGUGACCAUAUUCGGACUAAGAUCCGAAGGCAUUUGUGCGAGAUACUAAUUCCGGGCUAAGCCCGAAGGCAUUUGUGCGAGUUACUAAAUCCGGGUUAAGUCCCGAAGGCAAUUGUGCGAGUUACUAUAACCGGGCUAUGUCCCGAAGGCAUUUGAACGAGUAGCUAUAUCCGGUUAAAUUCCGAAGGUACGUGAUUUGGGAAUGAAUGAUCUUGCUGUAAAAAUUUCAAUAAAUACUCUAGAAACAUCCCAACAUUGAGGUAUGUUUCGUAUGUGCUUGAAUUUAGUUGAGCCCUUACAAAUAAGUAUUCGCUCAGUUGAUAAACGAGCUACCGGCCUUUGGCUAAGUUGAUCUUUUGUGUAUGUACAUAAGGGUUGGUAAUGUGAAGCAAGUAUGAUAUCGAAAAUUUGUGCAUAUGAAAUUAUCCGUUUAGCUAUAUGAAUGCUAUACUUUUGCUGUGCUGGAAUUCCUUGCUCAAAACUUACUAAGCAUAAAUUGCUUACUCCGUUUCUUUGAUUCUCUGUUUUAUAGAUUUUGGUUCUCCAGCUAUCGAACUCGGGAUUUUGAAGUCGAAGUCGCCCACACUAUCAAAGCCCCCCCUUUUGGUACAAUUUUGGUCGAACUUCGAAAUGGCAUGUAUAGGACUACCCGUUCGUUGUGGGUCAUGGACCCUUUGGACUUGUAUAAUUUUGGAUAGCCAUGCGAAAAUGGCUUAUAUAUGUUUGAGUAUAAUGUUAUAAUCAUUUGGUAUGGAUAUGGUUAUUGAGAGGUGUGGAUAUGCUUGACAAGGAUUGGCCAUGAGAAUGGUUAAUCACUAUCAUAAAUUGUGCUAUUUAUGCAAAAGGGCUAGUUGAAUCAUGGAAACUAUGAAAUAGGUAAAGUCUACCUUAAAGGCAGAUGCUGAUAGCAGUAGUGAUGUAGAUUUGUAAAAUCACUAAAAAUAGUAGGAAUGGAAUUAAAUAGUAAAUAAAUUAUGUAAACGAACCUUGAUGAAUCUAUUUUCAUAGGAAAGUAACGAAACAAUCAUACGGGAAGUAUGUUAAGAGAUAUUCAGGUUCUUGUGAGACAGGGCCAGAACGGUUUCUGGAUUUCCUGUUCCGACUUUGGAAAUUCAUUAUAAAUUAACCAGAGACAAUUAGGAGUCAAGCCAUAUAUUUAUAGAUUCCUCUCUGAGUCUAGUUUCUAUAGAAACAAACGAAAUCAGUAUUGAAGCCCUGUACAGGGAGAUAUCCAAGUCGUAAUGCGCAAAGGUCAGUGUAGUCGAUCCCUGUAACAUGGGAGACUUUGACUAAUAAACUGUACUAAUUGGCCCAACCAAAAAUUUUUAGAAAAAAAUAUGUAGAUGGAAAUAUGAGUCUAUUUUCAGGGAAAAUUUACAGAACUGGAUUCCGAGUUUCUGAACUCAAGAUAUGAUUUUUAAAGUGACUAGUACGCAGAUUGGCAGUGUCUGGGAAAUUAUUUUUAAAGUCUGUUAACACCUCGUGUUCGACUUCGGUGACGGUCUCGGGUUCGGGGUGUUACACAAAAUAUGCCAAAUUCUUUCUGUUAUUACGUAUUUACGUACGUAUAAGCUUCAUAAAACUUACCUUAGCAUUUUAAUGAUUCGCUUUUAUCCACAAAUCAUAAUCUUAGCCCAAAGUAGAUUUUAUAGAACACACCGGAUAUAUGGAACAAAUACAGAGGUGCAUUGGUAUGCACUAAUGAACAGAGAGCACUAAAGUGCUAUACAGAGAGCACUGAUAUGCUAAACAGAGAGCACUGACAUGCUAAAAUUAGAGAGCACCAACCUGCUAAUAGUCAGAGAGCACUAACGUGCUAAUAAUCAGAGAGCGCGCUAAAGUUCCUUAAUGGCAUGCCACUAAUAUCCUGGUAGUUCUAAAUUCCAUCUACUUGGGUAUUAAAACUGAAUCUCAUUCAAUUAAAUACUUUAUAGAAUUAUUUCGAAAAAGAUUUCUCAUUUCUUUAUCAUUACAAUUUAGUGCAGAUUUCACAAUUCACAAUUAUCACACCAUUUUCACAUAUAUAUACUUUUGUCACAAUAUUUACUUAAUGUUCAAUCAAUGUACCACUAUAUACUUUCCAUAUAUAAUUCUCUUUACAAAUUUCAUAGUUCCAUAAUCUUUUAUUUUACUUUAUUUUAUUUUAUUUCUAAAUAAUUCUAUACUAUAAUAUAGGCAUUUAAAUAAAAUAAUUUUUUAAAAAAAUAACCUUGUAGUACUUACAACAAAAAGGUUGAGAUGAUAUCUUCCUUCACUCCUUAGCCUUCUCUUUCCCUUUUUCUUCAAUUAGGUCCUUUCCUUUCUUUUCUUUCUCUUCAAU